GAGAAACUCCUUCUCUCACUAGCUCUCUCUCACUCACGAUCUCUCUCUCUGUCGGACUCGAGCUCACGCUCUCCUCCUGAACUCUCGCUCACUCCGAUCGAGCUCAAGCUCGUCUCUUCUCUGAUUCUGUUACAGACCUCGACGUCGUAACUUCCGUCGAUCAAGAAGACGAUGUGAUCUGAUGAAGAUAAUAUCUUCAGCUCCUGAUCAAUUAUACUUUUGACCUCACUUCCUUAUUUCCAAAGAAUCCAGCUCACGUGAAAGUCUCAUGACCACUUAGAGCUUGAGUGAGACCUUCCCUUUGACUGAGAGACUUAGAAGAUAGAUGACAUAUUUCUACAAUCUCCACCUUGUCAUCGAUAUUCUUCAUGGCUCUACCUUCCCUUGAGCUUUCUCCUCAUGUACUUGAGCAAACUUGCUCAUCUGUAACUCCCUGCAGAUUCUUGCAUCUUCUCAGCUUCAUAUAGCUUUGAAUAAAGCAUAUUCAACUUCAUCCAUCUUUGAGCAUCACUGCUCAGCUUCAAUACUUCCUGAAAUUAGUUUCCUCCAAGCAUCUCAACCCGUAUCCAUCUUGAUACAACCUGAAGACUUCUUUGCCACUGCUCCUUUGAACCUCUUACCCGAAGCUCCACCUCAAUAGCUUGUCUUCAUACAAUCAAUCACCAUCAAUGAACCAGACAUGAAAACUCACAAGUCAUGGCUGUGAUGUUAAUCACUUUUUAUUCCUGAGUACUGUCUUCUUAAGUUGAUAAACGCUUUAACACAGCUUUGUGUUAAGCUCAACUUCUUCAUUGAUUCUCUUUUGGCAGUUUCUAUAAAACCGGAAACUUGAGACGACCACCCAUCAGUAACUCAACACAAUCCAUAAGCUGCUCACUUGAUGCUUGACCUGUUACUGUGAUUUAAAGUCAUCAACCUUCUGCCAAAAUCUGAUGCCGAUGCUAGCUUGAAACUAUUUCAGAACUUGAAUCACUUGCGGAACAUGAAUCACUUGCCUCAAACCAGAAGCUCCUUGAUUCAAAACCUUUGAAACCAAUCUCAACAAACAGUAGACACCAACUGCUUAACCUGAGAUUUUCCUCACAACCACUUGAUGAACACACUGACUUGAACACCACCCUGCAAAAGCACCUGAGAUCAUAAUCAAAAAAUACUACUGAAAUCUCUUGCAGAAAACCAGAAACAUAUAAGUUUCCUCCCUGAAUCAACCCUUGAUUCAACCAGCCUCUGCCUAGCCAACUCGACCUUGAAACCUGAACUUGAACCGCUGUUGAAACUCAACAGAUCACGCCUCAUAGCUUCACCUUGCUGUGAGUACUUUCGACCCUAGUUCCCUUUCCAAUUCCCUGAGUAAACAAGACAGUACCAGUAGCUCGAAAAUCACUCCUUGUACUCUUUAACCAUAUCUCUCAUCAUAAGAACCUGAGAUACUCAAGAGAUACUUUCUUUACAGCAUCUUUCACAUCAACAUCGAGCCCAUGAUGUGUUUCCCCUGCUGUACCAGACCUGCAACACAAUCAACAGUGUGCAAAACUCCACCAAAACCUUUGGUACUUGCAUCAUAGAUCUUCUCGGACCUGAACCAAAACAACUCUUCUUGGCUCACUAACUCUUCCUCUAGUGUUUUUCACACUUAGGCUCCACACUUGUUCAAUCUCACAAGUGUUCUUUACUGAGAAGAUUUCAACUUUCUUUGAUGCAACCAGACAACUUAUAACUUCUCAAGUUGUUGUCUCAGAAAUCAGUUUUGAAAACAUGUUUCUGCCUCAGCCUUCUCUAAGACUUCAAAUCAGUUGCAAGCUUCUUGAAAUGUCUCUCUUUAUGCUACCUUCACACGCCUCAUUAUACCUUCUUGAAGUGAUACACUUUGAGAAAACUUCAGCAAGAACUUGUUUCUCAAUCCUCAUACGAGAAAAUAACCAUGAUCACUUCAGUCUACUUCAUCUCAAGACAUUCACAGAACCUGCAACUUCUUAUAUUUCAGCAACCUUAUCUUCUUUUAACUUCAGAGCCUGCCCACAUUCUGAUUUAUGCAAAAAACUCAGACUAAUACUUCAUCAAUCUUCACCUUAUACCAGAGAUCAAAACACCUUUGAUUUCUUCUCCAGCAAAGCCAACAUAAACCUUUAUUUACUGCUGCUUAAAACUCUGAUGAUACAAGAUUCUUUGCUGAAAAUAGCUCCACCCAGAAACUGUUUCUCUCUCUCUGAUUCUGCCUUGAUGUCACUACACUUCACAUUCUCUUGUACACACUCUACUUGGUUCUCUUUUCCUUCCUGCUACCACACAAAACCAGAAUGAAUUGCAUAAGCUGUUGCAAGCUUAUUUGCAGGAACUUUAACCCAACAAUACACUGAGAAGACUUGAGAAAUUCGUCUGAACCAGUAGCACUGCUCCACCUGAAGCCAAAAAACAUCUGAAGAUGUGCACUACAACACUUGUAGAGGCAAGACUCCACCUGAAACAGAAACCUCUCAGACCUUACUGAAUUUCUCUUCACACACAAAUUCACUUCUCAGACUUAUAACCAUCCUUAAACCUUCCUGCACUUUUUUCUUGAUCCAUUAAACUGUUCUGUGUACUUUGACUGAAUAUAUGGCUUCUUGUUUCAACAUACAUGUCAGAACUUAUGACAAAUAUCUUCUGUUUUCAGCCAUUUAAUCUCAGUCACUUAUACCCGAGAAACCACCAGGAGUCAUUGCUUCUUCAAAGCAAUUCAUGUACCACCAAACUGAAAGUGCUUCGACCAUCCUCUGUAUGUUAUGACCUGUAAUAGUCUCAUACACGCUGGCAUCUUCAUCCUUUCUGAAUUUUAAUCAAAAUCAGAACCCAUGCUCUCUGCUCUUGUCUCACGUGCUCCACCUUCUUGUCUCUGAAACUUUAACCUGUCUUGGACUUUAGUUUCUAAAAAACGUGAGCUACCAUAACCUGAGACAUCACCUGCAGACCUGAGCUUGUAACAUCUCUGUCCAAGAGGAAACAGAACCAGCAAAACCAAUUUCUUGCUUUCUUUUCCAGUGGAACACAAAACUAGAAACUUGCUUCUUUUCUAGUUUCUUUAUCACUGAUAUUCAAUCAGCCUUGCUUCAGAGUUCAUCCCUUCUAGUCUUCUGCAGAGACACCUUUGAGUAAGACAACAAGACCUCUUCACCGAGCUUGCCCCUGUUACUCACAACAUCUCACCAAAGCUUAGCUCAAGCUGCUUCUUCCUAAAGAUAAAACCUGUUUCUGCAUCACUAACUUGAUGACUCUUUCGCUUCAUCUAAUAACCAGAAGCUUCUCAUCUCAUUCCUUUAAUGAGACUGACUUCACUCCUGAGACUGAACCCACGCAGAACCACUUCUGUUUAUCACAUUACUGCCACUGAAGAGUAGUCACAAAUGUAACAGCCUUGAUUCAUUUAGUAGAAACCCAGCCUUGUUGCUACAAGCUCCAUUAUGAUCUUUUUCUAACCCUGAUCAUCACCACCUGAGCUCCUCAUAUCCACAAGAAUCUGAUCCUUUACCCUCAGACUGAACCUGCAGACCUUCAGCUCAGAACCUCUGAAAACUGAACCAACCUUGAAGUUUCAAAAUCUGAACCUGUCUUGUUCCACAACUGAGUAAACCUCACUGUCAUGCUUCUCUGCAACUUCCUUUCACUUAAAUCCUGGAACCUUUAAUCAACACCCAAAUAGCCACUGAAACACAUACCAACAUCAACUUCUAAGGCGUCCCCUAGACCUGAGAUUCAUAAGUGCCCCAACUGCCAUUUUUUCCAUCUUCUGAAACAACACUGCAUAUUUCUUCCACAAACGAGCUGACCAAAACACAAUCUGACACCAGACCCGAGCCUUGAUCAUCCUUUGCAAAGAUAACACACAUUACUUGUGAUUCAGCAAGCUUCAGUUCCCCUUAUCCUUUGCAGAAAAUGAUUAACCAUCCAUCACAAACUACCUUUGUGACUGUAUUGAAACAAGACCACCUUAUCUUCAAGAUUUGAGCCUGAAAUCUGUUGAACUUGAUUUGAUUCAAGCUCCUUAAGUCUGGCUUGACUUAACCUGAAUAAUCUCCAACAUGAGAUAUUACCGGAAAGGAGUAUAUCAGCAGCUACGAAGAAGACGACGAACACUCAGCCUUCAAUUCCUCCGAUAACAACAAAGACACGCAGCUGGAACAGGGGAAAGCAAUGGUGACUCAAGAGCUAUGAUCUUUUACUUGAUCUCUCUAUCUUGUACUUGCUUUCUCCUUCCUCUGAAUACUCUAUCUCUCCCUUCUGUAUCUCAUUCUUGCUUCAGCCUCUACGGAUCUUUCCUUUCUUGUGAAUAACACAACAUAGCUAGCAAGUCUCUUCAUCAUAAUCUCACACCAGACUAUGACUCUAGCCUCAAGAUAGAUCACCUUGCUUCUGCACAUGGUUUUACAAACCAGAAACCAAUAGAUCCGACUGGAUCUUCCUCCGUGUACGUUCUUUCUUACGCUUCCGACGUCUUCUUCGUCUACCACAAGCAAACAUCACUUUCUUCUUCCUUUGACGCUGACGCUGCAUAAUGAACGACAUCAGCUCUGAUUCGUCACACUUGAUAUGAGAGCGAUGCGAUCUCGAGACUACAGAAACUCUGAUUCUUCUUCUUCAGAAUCGAUCAAGAUUCGUUACCGAUGAGUCCUUGAAUCGCCAUAACCAGCGCUCUGAUACCACUUGUUGAGGAUUCUAUCGGUUUCCUGCAAGCUUCAAUGUAUCUCAAAUCGCAAAUCUAGCGGAAACAAUCAAUCGCAGUGUGGAAUCGAAUCAAGCGAGAAAGUAAACGACACAAGAGUUUUUGGUAACCCGGUGUUCACCGCACUUCUCCGAUGUGGAGAAGCCGCUAUACUCACCGGAGAGAGAAUUAGGUCUCUCAACCUUUCCAAUAGAUGAAACUGAGAAGAGUACAAUCACAGGAGAUCUUCUUCCUCUCUAUCUCUGUUACAAUCACCAAGAGAUAAGAGUAUAAUCUAGGAAGAAGAAACAAGAAGAUGAGCUUAGCUAGAUACACAGAGAAACUCCUUCUCUCACUAGCUCUCUCUCACUCACGAUCUCUCUCUCUGUCGGACUCGAGCUCACGCUCUCCUCCUGAACUCUCGCUCACUCCGAUCGAGCUCAAGCUCGUCUCUUCUCUGAUUCUGUUACAGACCUCGACGUCGUAACUUCCGUCGAUCAAGAAGACGAUGUGAUCUGAUGAAGAUAAUAUCUUCAGCUCCUGAUCAAUUACACUUUUGACCUCACUUCCUUAUUUCCAAAGAAUCCAGCUCACGUGAAAGUCUCAUGACCACUUAGAGCUUGAGUGAGACCUUCCCUUUGACUGAGAG
rnacentral:lncRNA from 1 species